rnacentral:lncRNA from 1 species
GUAUGAGUGCUUCUAAUUUCCAUUUACAGGACAGUCCAUGCCCUUCCUCAGGAGAUUCCAUCCCUUACUUCAUUCAUUCCUUCCGUCAGCCCCGAGUGUCAGCUGUCUGCUGGGGAUUUGCUGAGGCCCAGGGGCAGACAGAUAGGCAAGCGACUGCCCUGCUCCCAAUUAAGAAACUCCCAGCCUACUGGGAGAGCUACCCCGCCCACCCGUAGAGCCACUCUAGGAGGGAAGAUGGCUAAGUGUCACCAGGGAGGAACAGAAGUGCUGUGGAGCCCGAGGAGGGGAGGGAGAGGUGGCUUUUUAAAUAGUUGUGGGUCAGGAAGCUUUAUGGAGGAAAUGGCAUUCAAGGGCCUGGAAGGAUGGGUAGGAUUUGGGCAUGAGGAAACAGAAGGAAGUGACAUAUCAACCAGUGAGGAAACAGAGCAGAGUCGUGAAGUUUGAAAUCUCAGGCAAGCACUGGACAAAGGCCAAUGAAUCCAUGGAUGAUCACACCACUAAUGGAAUAACUCAUUACUGCUAAGAGAUGCUGGAAGAUUUCUUACAGAAGGUGUAUGUGGAACUAUUUGGAUGGAAAGAACUGGGUGUGGUACCCAGCAGAAGGCACAGUGCUCCUGGUGGUUUUAUGGGUCUCAGGCUCUGGAUCUGCGCUGGGUUCUGACCUUGCUUCUGCUUCUGUGAGUCUCUGCCUUUCCCACUGCCUACCGGUCUUAGAAGACUGAAGUCCCUUUUCUUCCCGGACUCACUCUGGAGCUUGCAUACCUCCUAAAUAGAUGGCAUGCACUGCUUUUUCUCUUCCUUAAGCUCAGUUUCUUAAGCAUAUGCAAAAGACAUAUAUUUGAAUCUCUUUUAUACUAAUCUAAGCUGUUCAGGGUUUGGUCACAUGCCAACCAAACCAGAGCUAUUUUGUGGAUGUUUUUCUAAUUGCAUUCAACUUCACAAUUUACCUGAGAAAAUUACAGCAUUUCUAUCACCAGUUUUUAUCCAUAUUCAAUCUUCAAUCAUCCCUCUGUGGAAAAG